UCGCCCCGCUUCCGCGCGCCUCCUGGAGGCGCUGCUCCACUCCUUAAAGGGGCCGCGCCCGGCGUGGCGGGGGGCGAGGCGGGGCGAGGGGCGCGUGGCCGGGCCGCCGUGGGUGACCUGCGCCGGCGGCGACGCGAGAGGCGAGUGUCGCCCGGGCGGAGCCACCUGCCGAGGGGCCCUGGCGAAGGUAGCGGCCGCCGGGGCGAAGCCUGUAAGGGGAGACUGAGGUAACGCGGCGGCACCAGAUCAACCUCGUCCCGCCGGGCCGCGGAGGAAAUGGAAGCGUUGGGUCCUGCCUCAGGCGCCCUCCGCGCCGGCCUCGGGGAGCCUGUCCCCAGCGAGCCCCGCGGGGUUAUGGCAGGUGAAUGCCGUGGGUGGUGGGUGCCCAGGUUUAGUGUCCCAGUGCCUCUGUACCUUGGGGGUCAGGUGGGUGGCAGGCUGGCCUCGGGGGCACGGGGUGUGAGGAGCCCUUCCUCACGCAGGUGUGAGGGUACCCACCACCUGAACCAGGGCCUGCCGCUUCAUCGAGCUGCCCUGGCCCCUCUGGCCAACGUGUUGAAGUGUGGUGGGAGGUUUUUGGGUCCCUUUCACCGUGCUUGGCCAAAUUAAUAUUUAUUUAAAGGGGAACAGGCCCAACGAGAGAGCUCCAGUGCAGGGAAGGAGCUAGGCAGGGCUCAACAACAUUACUCCUGUUUUAACGUAACUAUGUGGAUGGUUCCUGCAUUAGCAACAUUUCUGGACGGUGUUUCUCAGACAUGGGACUUUGGUCUCUAUUAACUUGCUCAACCUUUCCAAGUGAUCUCAACCACGUUGCAGAGUUUGCUGCUGCUGGACGGGAGCAGAUCAUGGGAAGAGCUUGGGGUGAAGGCUGUCUAGAGGAACAAUUCGAUGAGUGUCCUGCUUUCCCCCUACUGCUGGGACAACAUGGGGUUAAAUAAGGCUUUCAAGGCAGAAAGACAGAUUUUAUGAAGCAACUUUUUUGUUACUACCGAGUGAUAUGGUGAGUAAUGGUCACAGGAAAAUUGCUGAAUGGUCUGCAAUCUGAACGAGCAGCAAGCAAGACAAGGGGUAUAUUUUCUUCCACUGCAGUUGCUGAAUUCAUGUGUGGACAGUCUGUCCCAGAAGCUUGAGAGUUCUUCAAGAAAAAUUGGUGCCAGUUGUAUGACUUGUGGUUACGAAGAGUCUCGCUACACAUCUGUGUGGACCAGCUCCAGGUCUAAUCUGGAAAGCUGAGUGAUCAUCCAUUCAACAUCUUUCACAUGACAUACGCCUAUCCUACUUCUGACAGCUGCAGAAUAAACACAGGGUUUCACACAGGAGAGCAUGUUAACCUCCCAAUAAAUAAAACUUUGAAGCAUCUGCCACACAGUCCCCAGCUCUCACAUCUGUGCUCGCAGUGGGCAUUGCAUCAGGAAAGAGCAGAUGAACCAUCAGCCUGGGGUGCACUUCGAGCUCCAGGUUUCCUCCCCCUCUCUCUUCCCAGUGCAGCCACCCCGCAGGGGCCUAUCCUCCAUAAGAUAAGUGAAAACAAUAACAUUGGUAAUAGCUGAUCUGGAUGCGCCCCAAAUAUUUGCCCCGUGAUACAAAUGCUUGUGGUAUCCCACGGACCAUCCUCCAGACAAAUGUUUUGAAUUAUCUGUUUCCAGGAAUGAGCUUUUGGGAAUGGCCCGGAGCAGCUUCCCCAAACACUUUAGCUACUUUGGGCCAGGCGAGAAGCUCCACCACACAGGUAAAACCCUGGCCUCGUGCCCUGAUGAGCUGCCUGCCCUCUCCCCUUUCCGCAGGGACGAAGGCAGGAUGGAGCAGGCAGCCAGACAGGGGCAUGGCGUGCGGGCUGCACACAGGGCAGGGGCUGGCUCUGCGCAGGCUGCUGCGGGGCUCAGAGCAGAGCAGGGCCCUGUAGGCUGCGGUCCCAGGUGCUGUGCCAGGGUGCCAGAGCCAGGCAGCGGUACAGUCUCUGAUGGCAGCCCAUGGGACAGGCACCUUGCAGGUCCUGACAGCCUCCCAGGUCCGUUCCUGUGUUCUUCUGGGGAUGUGACAGCGCCUUGUUAUCAGACCUCUUCUUGUGGGAAACUUCCCACGCAGUAGAGUUUGAUCCGGCUCUCAUAAUUAUCACACCUAGGCUCCAGUCUGCAGACUGUUGACAGACGCCCAAAUUAACAAAGUCCUUAGUGCCUUGCAAUAAUAACCUUGGUUAAUAAAACUGGGCGAAGUAUAUAAUCACAAUAAGGCUGCUAUGUGUACACAAAGGCAAGAUUAAUAAACCAUUGUCAAGCCCGGGCUAAGUCAAUAAAGUGGAACUGACUGGAAGCCAGGACAGCAGGCAGGUAAUCAUUAAUCUGUAUGUGUGAUAUUGAAUUUAAAGACCAGAUGUUACUGGAAACCCUUGCAGAUGCAUGGGGUGUCUGGGAGGGCACCGCAGCCCCUGUUACCUUACACCCCUGCGGGCAGAGCAGGAAGAGCCGCAUUCUUUGUGAUUAACCCAGCUUGAACUUUGAAAUCUGAGUCCCAAAUAUUUGCAAGAAAUUUGCAGCUAAAACAAAGGAUUGGGGUUUGAAAGGCCCUUUCGUUCUACAGUGUGGGACAAGCUUCCUACAGGGCUUGGGGCAAGUCCCUUCACCUCCUGGGACCUCACUUUCCCAUGUUCAGAGUAUGAUUCUUCCCCAAAUAUAUUUCCUUUGUAUGUCUCAUUUCCAGGGGGAAUUAGUACUAAAGUUUUAGAAGGGAAAAACAAGAAGGCAAAACUAAGAAAUACCAAACCCUAAUACUAGAGAGUUUUUGCUUAUUUUAAAGAGCACUUCAAAAGAAGUCUUUGCCUAAAUACCUGGAUAGUACUUUGUUACCCAGCUCAUACUCACAGUUACUGUACAAGAAGGCACCACAUUUCCAGGAAUCACAUCUUCACAGCUGCAAGUUUCCUACGCGGAGAAAGAUGGUCUUACAUUGUGUGGGCUUUAACAGAGCCGUUUCCCCAGCACUGGGUGGCCAGUAAAUAAUCCCCUUUCCUUUCCUCAUCCCAGAGCAAUCAUCAGGGUCUCCAGAGGACAGGGGGGUUGAGGGGUGAUUUGAUGGCCCGAGGAUGCAGCGUGCCCACCCCACAGGCAGGCACGGGGAAAGCCCCAGCGCAGGCUCCUGCAGAUGAACCCCACCAGCAGCACUUGCUUACAGAAGUUGCAGCCAGAGCAGACUACUUAUUUUACCCUUGUGAAAGUGCUUUAACUUAAGAAUAAAAUAUUGUUUUACCCUCUGCCCUGCUGCUCAGUGUAACUCCAGUGUUAGCUUCCACAACUAUAACAAACCUUCUAAGCAAACAGCUUUUAAGCUCUGCUUCCAAACCAGGCUGGAUAAGGAGCAAGCAAGCUCAGUUAGGUGCAGUGGCCGAGCCAUUGCCCAUUCCUCUGUCUCUGCUCCCACUGACCCUUGAGAGACGGGGCUUAGUCCUUCCACUUUACAGCUCACCCUGAAAUGAGUAAAUAGGAUAUUUGUUUCCUCAUUUGCAUGGAUAUUUUAACUGCUUGGAGCCAGCACAAAGCCUCUGCAGCUUUUAAAGCUGUGGGUUUGAGUGGAUCGCUUCCCCGUAGGAUGGCAAAAGUAGCCCUGAUGUGGCUGCACAGGGUGUUCUGAACUGUGUCACCCGUGUGACAAACAGGGGUGAAGAAGCUGAUUUUGCAAGGUGGCAAUAGUUGGUCAGACUCUCCAAGGUGGGGAUGAGUCUCCCCAUCAUCUCUCCAAAGAGCACAGCCCCGGUGGCAAGCAGAGCUGGCAGGAGGGCAGGGAAGUGAUGGAAACUUCCCAGGGGAGAGUUAUUGAAGAGACUGAACAGGCUCUGGUACACCUCAGCACAAGUAAACGUAGCAAUGUCAGGCCUGAGUGCCCUGUUUUGUCUCAUGACAGCACAUUCACAAAUAUCUCAAACAUUUAUUUUCCUUUGUGCAGCCUCACAUGCUGCCACCCAGCACCAACAAAUAACAAGCUCCUCACUUUUUAAGCACAGCCUUAUGAGGAAAUAUUGUUACAAUGAGCUGCAGCUCAAGACUGGCAUGAAGAUAAAAAUGAACGCAGGAAUCGCAGUCAAGUGAGAGCGCGUGCAGAAUAGAAGUUGCAAGGAGAAGUGGGGCCAGGAACAAUUGCAGUGGUUCCCAGGAGCCCCAUGGGGAGAAGUGGCCUUCACAUACUGAGAAAUUCAGACCUCUUAGGAAGAACUUGCUGUAGAGUUAGUAAAAGCUGGUUUAUGACUCUUCAGACUGAGAUGGCCAUCAAAAAUGAACAGGCAAUUUAUUUUUUUUUCUGAGGUGCAGUGAACUGUGUUGCUGCUGUAGCACUGCCUUCACCAAAAGGAGCUGCUGUGCCGCAACAGGGUCUGUCCUGUGGGACAGGAGCCUUGCAGAGCUCGCAUGAAGUGUCGGGUCAGUAACUCUGAGCCCUUGGAUAUGCAGCUGCUUUGUUUGCCAUGUGAACCGGCCUGACUCCAGAGAACAGGUGCUUAGCGUGCUCCUACAUUCACAUCUUUUGAAAGACACCCCCACUAGACAUCCCAAACUACUAAUGGUUUUGCACACCCCAGCCUCAAGCCUCAGUCUUCUUAGCAGACUCUAAUGCCAAGGACAGCAAGGCUGGCCAAGAGAAGCAGCUGAUAAGACAUCAUGUGGACCCAAAGCCAUGGAUUUAAUUGAGUUUAAAGGCAGAAGAUCACCAAACUGCCUGCAGAUUAGGCAUUUAGCUAGUAAAGUUUUGCCUAGUUACUUGCUACUUGAGCCCCUUGGCAUGGAUUAGACAAAAGCACACAAGUCCUCAGGGAACAGAUUACUAAUUGCCAUCACCAAAGAGCAGGAUUCGCCCUGCUAACAGUCAUACCCAAUUCCUUGAUCAAAAUCUCCCGGUAGGGGAACCAGGCAAUGUCAUCCUGAUGUGGGGAAAAAAGAGCCUCACUGUAGCCCCAUAUUAAACCCCAGGUAUGUGAAGAGGGAAGACGGGGAGUUCUCUGCCCAUUUCACAUCCCAUCUGCUCAAGACUUACAAGACUUUUUCCACCCCUGUAUUGUGCUGUGUACCUCUCCCAACAUCCCUCUAGAUGUGCAGACAAGGAAAUUGUAUUGCACCCGUCCUACCAGGGCUAUGUCAGAGAAUAACUUCCCUAUUUCUCUUUGACAGACCUCCAGGAGACCCUGGUAAGUCCAGGAUUUCCUUAAGCCCCUAUUUCACUCCACCCUGAUGAUGAGUCCUGCUAAGAGCCUGGGAGCUGCUGUGGAGUGCUGAACUCAGCCCUUGUAUGAGCCACCACUCACCAAGCCCUGCACCCCACCCUGGGGCUGCCAUCAGUAUUCAUCUCUAUUUCCAUUUGCAAAGAGUGACUGGUUUGAGGGAAGGGGAAGCUGACCGCCCACGCCGUCAGUGGGGGGCAUGGUCUCAUACCCGCACAGGAGCAGAGGGGUUGUCCUGGGCCUGGCCACCAACAGGCACUCUCCUGGAGACCUCCCCAUGCCCCAGGCCUCUCAUGGCUGCAGACUUGGCAGCUGGCACAAGAUGCCCUCCCUGCCCCACACCAUCUUUCCCUAAAUAUUAUGUUUUAUAACGUGUUGGUUUUAGCUGUUGUAUUUGGCAGGCGUCCUUGAUUGCCUUUAGCAGCAAUGGCUUACUGACAGGAAGCAAAAUUUGAGGAUGCUAGCGCUUUACUGCAGCUCCCCGACUUUGUCUCCUACACACACAUGCCACCCCUUCACUACCAGGCCCAGAAAUGGGGUCAGGUGAUAAGAACUGAUGCUCAGGGCAGAAUAUAUCUUAUAUUCCUCCCCUCAGAACAUUUCCAGGAUCAGACUUUUUCUCUGUGUUUUGGUUUUUUUAUAAUGUUCACCAACUUCUUGGUAGGAUGAGAUGUGGUGUAGAUCAGGAGGUUCAGAUUUCCCUUUUGGGAGACACAUGCAGAGUUUUUGUCCGUCUUAACACUGCAGGCUGGCAUUUCAAAACUCCUUCUUAAAUGCCAGAAAAGUAGCUAUCAUCUCAUCAGAGUUCAGAUCCUGUGUGCUGUCUGUCUGUAAGGACCUCAGUGGGUAUAAUAGUUGCUCCCUGCCAGUUUCUGAACAAACUUGAUCUUAUUUCUACAGCUACUUUUGGAUGUUUCAGCCACACAAAUAUAUGGUCAGAAUAAAGUGGAAAUGGGAGCUAGUGGGAGGUGGGAAGAAAGAGAGAGAGAAGAUUCAUCUCUUCUUCCUGACACAGUGCUUUCAUCUGUGAAUAUGGGUUGUUAUCCCAGCAUUAGGAUUUGGGCUGAAGUUUUAUAGCAAAGACAUGUCAAACCCUCCCCUAUUCUGAGGAAAAUAGGCAUAAGCGGAAAUAAAUACAUAAAUAUUCAGCUGAGACAUCAGAUGCUAACCAAGGCCACCCAGUGAGUUGGCUUUUGUUCUAAACCAUCUUUCUGUUCUGUAUUUGUGCAUGUCUUUCACCGCGGGGUGCUUGGCUCCAUGGGGACCAUGACCUACCACUUCUACACUGAUGCAGAGCGAGGUCUCCUGUGCUUCACAGGCUGAGCUUUGCUGCACUUACCUUGUCAAAUUUCCUUCAGAAACAGCCAGGAAGCUCUGCAGGGUGGAAUAUGUAGGGGAGGAAAGCCCUUUGGCAGGGCUGAUUUCUGAACAUAGUGGAUGAGCUUCAUCUUACCUAACACUAGCUGCUGGAAACUAACUGCUGAGCAACUAGUCCUUCCUACUUCCACUCCCACUAGAGCAAGUGAAGAAAAGUGGAAAAAGAAAAAUCAUUUACCCUGGAUCUUUGUGACCUGGGGCCUCCUAGGAGGUGAGAUGAAUCCCACCCUGAGGAGUUUUGUGGGUUUUGGUCCACUUUGCAGGGAGCAGGAGCGCAGAGCUAGCACUUGACUCUCUGUUCUGCAGACCUUGGCUUGCCUUUUGGGAGCUCCCAAUGUAGCCAAAACCAGUGUCAUCUCCUGGGUUUUACUCUGAAAAUGCAGGGGCUGUACACAAGGUCUGGUUAUUCCUAAUUCUUGGUGGUUCAAGACCACCUGGUGCAGCUUGACAGGAGUGGGAUGCUGCGUCCCCUCGCAGGACCACUGCCUGUUGUGCACUGUGCAUGGUCUGGAGUCCAGCUGCAGAGACAUCCAGCUCCUCUGUUUAUGCUGCAGCUGCCUCCCAAACACCAUCUGAAGGUGCAGGCGAAACAAGAGCACUUCUAGUACUGCAUGCAACGUAUGCAAGUUACAGGAUAAUUUCUGUCUCCAGGAACUCACAGUCUAAAUGAAGACAAGGCUGCAGCGAGAGAUGUCGUGAGAACUGGUAACAGGGAGAAAGGAGGAUGGAAAAAAGGAACCUUGUUGCAAUCUCACCCUUCUUUCAGCACACUGCCUUUUUUUUAAUGCAAACUUUCCUGUUUUCUGGAAUGAUCUCCCAGCACAUCCCACUUCUUUCCUGUUUAUCUCUGUCAAUAUCUGAUGCUUAUACUGUAUCUCUAGAUACAUAAUGCAUCACUUCACAUGUGGUGUUAAUAAGCAGUGAGUGUCUGCACAGAGUGGUUGCAAAGAGCAUCUGACUGCAUUGCAGGAUGCCUGGAACUGGGGUUGUUUUCUCAGAUGAACAUAGGCAGGACAUAUCUGAGAUUAUUUUUGCUCCAUUCCUUCUUAUCACAUACAUAUUUUCAGAACUCAAAGUCUGGACAAGUAGAACAUCGCGAUGUCAACCAAGGGAAGAUGUAAAUCUCCUUAAGUAAUUUUUAAUGAAAAAAAAUAUUGAGUUACUCUGAGUGCCAUAGUUUCUGGGUGGCUGACUUUAACUUUAGGAAUCCAUACUUAAAGGGAAAUUUUACAGUCUUAAUAUAUUCCAGAUGCUUUCCUAGUCCCAGAUGAAAGCUCUGUCAUCGUUUACUGUUAAUAUUUUUGUCAGCAGUAGAAUUUUAUUGUAAUAGCCUGUCUUAUUUGUAGUCACUAUUAGCCAUGAGAGAAACUUCCUCUACAAGUAACCCCUGGGUCACCCCGUGAGUGCCCCGUCUCACUCUAUUUAAUUAAAAACCAUUAACUGCU